rnacentral:rRNA from 1 species
AGUGAACGCUGGCGGUAGGCCUAACACAUGCAAGUCGAACGGCAGCACAGUAAGAUCUUGCUCUUACGGGUUGCGAAUGGCGGACGGGACAGGAAUACAUCGGAAUCUACUUUUUCGUGGGGGAUAACGUAGGUAAACUUACGCCAAUACCGCAUACGACCUACGGUUGAAAGCAGGGGAUCUUCGCACCUUUCGCGAUUGAAUGAGCCGAUGUCGGAUUAGCUAGUUGGCGGGGUAAAGGCCCACCAAGGCGACGAUCCGUAGCUGGUAUGAGAGGAUGAUCAGCCGCAUGGGAAAUGAGACACGGACCAGACUGCUAGGGGAGGAACCAGUGGGUAAUAUGGGACAGUGGGCGCAAGCAUGAUCCAGUGAUACUGCGUGGGUUGAAAAGGCGUUCGGGUUGUAAAGCCCUUUUGUUGGGCAAGAAACGCAGCAGGUUAAUACCCAGCUGUUCUGACGUUAACCAAAGAAUAAGCACCGGCUAACUUCGUG